CCUGCCAGCCAGCCAAUGGAUGGGGAAGUAGGAGGAGCCCGGCCCCUCAAGGCAAAGGGUGGAGACAGAGACAACAAGGAAAUACCACACAGCAGUCGGAACAAGGAGAAAAGCAUACUUUGAAAUUGGAAAAAAAAUUAAAGUGAUUCACAAGGAAGCUCAGGACUGGAAUUGAUUGAAACCUGGAUGGGAAGCUGACAGGGUACUCCAUGUAUGUUACAUCAUCGUGACAAGAGAGAUCAGCAAGGAAGAGAAAAUGCAUUCAAUCACAGUCCCCUCUCCUCUGCUGACCUACACUGGUUCUGUGCUUAGGGAUACGCCUUCACAUCGCGGAGCACAAAUUAGCAUUUAGGACUUGAUUUAGAAAUGGGUGAACUAUCUGCACAAAAGCAUAGCAAUAUUAAAGCUCAUUAAGUGGACAAGAUAAUGGCCCAUAAUACAGAAGAGAUGAAUGGUGCUUCAAGGAUCACUUCAUAAAGAACUCUGCCUAUGAAGGCAGCUUUCAUUAUAAACGAUCCCUGACUUUUAUCCAGCAGACUCCCCAGUGAAAUGGAAUUCCACAUGUUCCCUAAGCAAAUGUUUCAUCGGGCAACUGUUAAGUUUUCUCAGUCCCUUAGAGGUAAAGUAAAAUAUUUUUCUCCCAUCUGUA